GACGAACACUGGCGGCGUGCUUAACACAUGCAAGUCGAACGGGCCUUGUCCCCUUUUUUUUUGGGGGUGGGGUUAGUGGCGAACGGGUGAGUAACACGUGAGUAACCUGCCCCUCACUUCUGGAUAACCGCUUGAAAGGGUGGCUAAUACGGGGUGUUCUGGCCUGCUCGCAUGGGUGGGUUUGGAAAGAUUCGACCGGUUUUGGUUGUUUUGGUGGGGAUGGGCUCGCGGCCUAUCAGCUUGUUGGUGGGGUGAUGGCCUGCCAAGGCUUUGACGGGUAGCCGGCCUGAGAGGGUGGGCGGUCACACUGGGACUGAGACACGGCCCAGACUCCUACGGGAGGCAGCAGUGGGGAAUAUUGCACAAUGGGCGCAAGCCUGAUGCAGCGACGCCGCGUGAGGGAUGGAGGCCUUCGGGUUGUGAACCUCUUUCGCCAGUGAAGAAGGUCCUGCUCUUUGUGGUGGGGUUGACGGUAGCUGGGUUAAUGAAGCGCCGGCUAACUACGUG
rnacentral:rRNA from 1 species